UACGUAGGGGGCAAGCGUUAUCCGGAUUUACUGGGUGUAAAGGGAGCGUAGACGGCGGUGCAAGCCAGAUGUGAAAGCCCGGGGCUCAACCCCGGGACUGCGUUUGGAACUGUGCUGCUAGAGUGUCGGAGAGGCAGGCGGAAUUCCUAGUGUAGCGGUGAAAUGCGUAGAUAUUAGGAGGAACACCAGUGGCGAAGGCGGCCUGCUGGACGAUGACUGACGUUGAGGCUCGAAAGCGUGGGGAGCAAACAGG
rnacentral:rRNA from 1 species